rnacentral:rRNA from 1 species
CCUACGGGAGGCAGCAGUGAGGAAUAUUGGUCAAUGGGCGAGAGCCUGAACCAGCCAAGUCGCGUGAGGGAAGACGGUCCUAUGGUUUGUAAACCUCUUUUGUCUGGGAGCAAAGUGCGCCACGCGUUCCGUUCUGUGAGUACCCGAUGAAAAAGCAUCGGCUAACUCCGUGCCAGCAGCCGCGGUAAUACGGAGGAUGCGAGCGUUAUCCGGAUUUAUUGGGUUUAAAGGGUGCGCAGGGGGCAGAUAAAGUCAGCGGUAAAAUUUUGGGGCUCAACCUAAUCGAGCCGUUGAAACUGGUUGACUUGAGUGAGUGAGAGGUAUGCGGAAUGCGUGGUGUAGCGGUGAAAUGCAUAGAUAUCACGCAGAACUCCGAUUGCGAAGGCAGCAUA